AGCAGCCGCGGUAAUUCCAGCUCCAAUAGCGUAUAUUUAAGUUGUUGCAGUUAAAAGCUGUAGUUGGACCUUGGGUUGGGUCGAUCGGUCCGCCUCUGGUGUGCACCGGUCGGCUCGUCCUUCUGCCGGCGAUGCGCUCCUGGUCUUAAUUGGAUGCCGCGGGGAACCAGGACCUUUCUUUGAAAAAAUUAGAGUGUUUAAAGCAGGCAUUUUUGCUUGAAUACAUUAGCAUGGAAAAUAAAAUAGGACGGCAUGGUUCUAUUUUGUUGGUUUCU
rnacentral:rRNA from 1 species